rnacentral:rRNA from 1 species
GACAGAGGGGGCAAGCGUUGCUCGGAAUUACUGGGCGUAAAGGGCGCGUAGGCGGUGUUCUAAGUUUGUCGUGAAAUCUCCCGGCUUAACUGGGAGGGUGCGCCGAAAACUGCGGAGCUAGAGUGUGGGAGAGGAAAGCGGAAUUCCUGGUGUAGCGGUGAAAUGCGUAGAUAUCAGGAGGAACACCGGCGGUGUAGACGGCUUUCUGGACCAUUACUGACGCUGAGAUACGAAAGCGUGGGUAGCAAACAGG